rnacentral:rRNA from 1 species
ACAUUUUGGGACCUCACUGGCUCCGGAUCCCAUAAGAACUCCAAAGUUAAGUGAGUUUGGGCGAAAGCAGUCCUAGGAUGGGUGACCUCCUAGGAAGUUCUCGUGCUGAAACCC